rnacentral:rRNA from 1 species
AUGGCCAAGAUCAGCUCAAGAAGACGCAAGAACUUCAUCAACUCUCGGAGAGUUGGAGACAACGUCGUGACAGCGCUCACAGAGAAGGAAAAGGCAAUCCACGAACACUUCAACUGCAUCCUAGGAUCCACCCAACACCGAGCCACGUCGAUCAACUGGGAUGAGUUGCGCAUGCCUUCAGUGCAUGGAAAUGGCCUGGACAACCCAUUCUCUGACGAAGAGGUUUGGGCAGCGAUUAAGGAUUCACCCGCGGAGAAAUCGCCAGGGUCGGAUGGUUUCUGCGGCGUCUUCUUUUGGAGUUGUUGGAGCAUUGUAAAGGCUGAUAUCAUGCAGGCAUUCCAACAGUUCUACCACCUGGCCGGGCAAAACUUUGCGGCUCUGAACUCUGCGAUCAUCGCGCUCAUCCCCAAGAAAGACGGAGCGGAAUUCAUUGCUGAUUACAGACGGAUCAGCCUGAUUCAUUCAAUUGCGAAGCUGUUCUCCAAGGUUCUCUCAAUCCGGCUUGCUUCGAUGGUGUAGUCCAUCAUCUCGCCCACCCAGACGGCUUUCCUGAAGACUAGAUGCUUGCAUGACAGCAUUGUCUACGUCCAGAAUUGUGUCAAGAGCCUACACCGCAGGGAAACACCGGCAAUUCUCCUUAAGCUUGACAUCUCAAGAGCAUUCGAUAAUGUUUCCUGGGAAUAUCUCCUGGAGCUGCUCGCAAGGCUAGGGUUUAGUACACGCUGGCGGGAUUGGAUCACGCUCGCUACAUCAUCCUCGGCCAUUCUCCUCAACGCGUCACUAGGCACGCAAAUCCUGCAUCGUCGGGGACUGAGGCAAGGAGACCCCCCUGUCUCCUCUCCUCUUCAUCAUUGCGAUUGA